AGUGAACGCUGGCGGUAGGCCUAACACAUGCAAGUCGAACGGCAGCACAGUGAGAGCUUGCUCUUACGGGUGGCGAGUGGCGGACGGGUGAGGAAUACAUUGGAAUCUACUUUUUCGGGGGGGAUAACGUAGGGAAACUUACGCUAAUACCGCAUCCGACCUACGGGUGAAAGCAGGGGAUCGUCGGACCUUGCGCGAUUGAAUGAGCCGAUGUCGGAUUAGCUAGUUGGCGGGGUAAAGGCCCACCAAGGCGACGGUCCGUAGCUGGUCUGAGAGGAUGAUCAGCCACACUGGAACUGAGACACGGUCCAGACUCCGACGGGAGGCAGCAGCGGGGAAUAUUGGACAAUGGGCGCAAGCCUGCUCCAGCCAUACCGGGUGGGUGAAGAAGGCCUUCGUGUUGUAAAGCCCUUUUGUUGGGAAAGAAAACCAGCAGCUUAAUACCCCGCUGUUCGGACGGUACCCAAAGAAUAAGCACCGGCUAACUUCUU
rnacentral:rRNA from 1 species